UACGACCAUAUCACGUUGAAACACUAGUUCUCGUAAGAUCGUCGAAGUUAAGCAAUGUCGAGCCUGGUCAGUAACUAGAUGGGUGAGUAAUAGGAAAUAUCAGGUGCUGUAAG